rnacentral:rRNA from 1 species
CAGCUCUUCAAGUGGUCGGGAUUAUUAUUGGGCCUAAAGCAUCCGUAGCCGGCGCUGUAAGUUUUCGGUUAAAUCUGUACGCUCAACGUACAGGCUGCCGGGAAUACUGCAGCGCUAGGGAGUGGGAGAGGUAGACGGUACUCGGUAGGAAGGGGUAAAAUCCUUUGAUCUAUUGAUGACCACCUGUGGCGAAGGCGGUCUACCAGAACACGUCCGACGGUGAGGGAUGAAAGCUGGGGGAGCAAACCGGAUUAGAUACCCGAGUAGUCC